CACGUAGGGCGCAAGCGUUGUCCGGAAUUAUUGGGCGUAAAGAGCUCGUAGGCGGUCUGUUGCGUCCGCUGUGAAAACUCGGGGCUUAACCCCGAGCCUGCAGUGGAUACGGGCAGACUAGAGGUAGGUAGGGGAGAAUGGAAUUCCCGGUGUAGUGGUGAAAUGCGUAGAGAUCGGGAGGAACACCUGUGGCGAAGGCGGCUCGCUGGGCCGGUCCUGACGCUGAGACGCGAAGGCGUGGGGAGCGAACGGG
rnacentral:rRNA from 1 species